rnacentral:snRNA from 1 species
GUGCUCAUGUUGGUAGCAUAUAUACUACAAUUGGAACAAUACAGAGAAGACUAGCAUGGCCCCUGUACAAGGAUGACAAUGCAAAUUUGUGAAGCAUUCCAUAUUUUU